CCUACGGGUGGCAGCAGUGAGGAAUAUUGGUCAAUGGACGAGAGUCUGAACCAGCCAAGUAGCGUGAAGGAUGAAUGCCCAAUGGGUCGUAAACUUCUUUUAUCAGGGAAUAAAAGGAGGCACGUGUGCCUUUUUGCGUGUACUUUAUGAAUAAGGAUCGGCUAACUCCGUGCCAGCAGCCGCGGUAAUACGGAGGAUGCGAGCGUUAUCCGGAUUUAUUGGGUUUAAAGGGAGCGUAGAUGGGUUGUUAAGUCAGUUGUGAAAGUUGGCGGCUCAACCGUAAAAUUGCAAUUGAUACUGGCAGUCUCGAGUACAGUAGAGGUAGGCGGAAUGCGCGGUGUAGCGGUGAAAUGCUUAGAUAUCACGAAGAACUCCGAUUGCGAAGGCAGCUCGCCGGACUGAAACUGACGCUGAGGCUCGAAAGUGUGGGUAUCAAACAGGAUUAGAUGCCCCAGUAGUC
rnacentral:rRNA from 1 species